rnacentral:tRNA from 1 species
GGGCGGGUAGCUCAGUUGGCUAGAGCAUCUGACUUACAUUCAGGAGGUCGUGGGUUCAAGUCCCUCUCCGCCCA